UAACGACUGAACCAGCAAUUUGGAGGAAUGUAAAUAUGUUAAACAUACGUUUAUUUAUUUAAUUAAAGUUCUAGAAGGUUAAUGAUGAUGACAAUUACCUCUCUAUAAGUCUUGACCAAAUCUCGUGCCAGCUGUCGCGGCAAGGCGAGAAAGGCUGCGUUAUUCAUCUUUAAUAGGUUUAAAGGGUACCUAGACGGUAUUAUUAACUAAAUAAGUAAUAUACUAGAGUUAAUACAAUGAGAGGAUAGAAGUUAUAGUGUAGAGAUGAAAUUUUUUGAUACUAUUUAAACUGGCAAGAGCGAAGGCAAUCCUUUAAUAUUAACUGACGUUGAGGGACGAAGGCUUGGGUAGCAAACAGGAUUAGAUACCCUAGUAGUCCAGGCAGAAAAUUAUGAAUGUCAUAGACUUAAUUACAUAUAUUGGUCUAUAAAUGAAAGUGUAAGCAUUCCACCUCAAGAGUAAUGUGGCAACGCAGGAACUGAAAUCAUUAGACCGUUUCUGAAAUCAGUAGUGAAGUAUGUUGUUUAAUUCGAUAACCCACGAAAAAUCUUACCACGGCUUGAAUAUUUAUAUAAUACAAGUGUUGCACGGCUGUCUUCAGUUAAUGUCGUGAGAGAGAGAUUAUUACAUCCUAUAAAUUAACGUAAACCCAUAUUUUAUUUGGUGUAAUAAAAU
rnacentral:rRNA from 1 species